rnacentral:lncRNA from 1 species
CUUCUUGGCCCAGGUCACUGCUCAAGGCAUGAAGCUCUGGAGGCAGCACUGGGAACAGAUGCAGCUGCAAUUGCCCAGGCUCCCCUCCACCAAGUUGUGCCGCAGGCCGCUGGGGGCUUCCAAAUCAGGUGCUGGAAUUGGGGACCUGGAGCCUCGCCCCAUCCUGCUGCCAGCGGAAAAAGGGCAGUGCCAGAGAAUGUUGCCCUCACCACUGCCCCAGGCCUAGGUCAGCCUGCUGGGCUACUCCUCAAGGGCAAAGGCCACGUGGGUCAUCAGCCACUGCCACCUGAUAUAAGAAAGGGGGCUGAAAGAAGGCUGCCUGCUGGCAAAGCAACCACAGAGCCAGCCAGCCAGUGGCACCCAGAACUGCAAGAACUUUCUCCAAGCCUGUGUGUCUUCUGUGCAAUGCCUAUGGUAGGUAACAUCAGGCCCCAGCUGAACACUUUGACCCCGAGUGGACAUGAAGCUCCAGGUGAAUACCCAGCACCUACCGUGGACAUCAGGCCCCAUGUGGACAGCAGUCCGCAGGACGAGGGCAGGUGCAUGGGGACAUAUCCCCUCCAGGUGGACAUAAGGCCCGAGCGGACACAAAGGCCCCAGGAAAACAUCAGGCCCCAAGUGGACACUGGACUCAUGGUGGACAUUGGACGUAAGGCACCAGGUUAACACCAGGCCCCAGGUGGACACCAGGUCCCAGAGGGACUCCAGUUCCUGCACGGACAUCAGGCUCCAGGAGGACAUCAGGCUGCAGUUUGGCUGGGAGGCCCCAGGUGGACACCAGGCCCCAGCUAAACAUCAGGCCCCAGGUGAACGCCCAUGCCUCAGGUAAAUACAUCAGGCCCCACGUGGACACAAGGCCCCAGGUACAUACCAGGGCCCAGGUGGAAACCUGGCCCCAGAUGGACAUCAGGCAUGUUGGUGGAACACCAGGCGCCACUUGAACUCCAGGCUCCAAGUGGAUGUCCAGGCCUCAGGUAAGUAUCAGGGCCAAGGUGAAUAGGAGGCCCCAGGUGGACAGCAGGCCCCAGGUGGAUACCUAGGCCCCUGGUGAAUACCAGGCCCCUGGUGAAAAUUAGGCCCCAGAUGGAUAUCGGACCCCAGAUAAAUACACAGUCCCUAUGUAGACAUCAGCUCCAAGUAGACACUAGUCCCCAGAUAGACACAAGGUCCCAGUUGCACAUGGACUCAAGGUGUCCAUCAAGCACCAGGCUCACACCCAGGCCACAGCUGGACACAAAGUCACAGGUGGACAACCAUCCCACAGAGGAUACCAAGGACUCAGGUGGACAUCCAGGCUCGAGGGGAACAGGAGGCCCUAUGUAGGCAGCAGGAACAGGGUGGGUAUCAAACUCCAGGUAAACACUCAGGCUCCAGGAGUACAAUAGGCCCGAAGUGGAUACGAGGCCCCAUGUGAGUAUCAGUCCUUAUAGGAUGGCACGCUCCACCUGGACACCAGGCGUCAAGUAAAUGCCUAGGCCCCUGAUGUGUAUCAGGCCCCAUGGGGACACUCAGACCAGAGCUGGACAUGUGGCCCUAAGUGGACACCCAGGACCCAGGUGGAUACCUAUACCCCAGGUUGACAUGAAGACCCAGGACUCCAGGCUUCAAGGGGCCACCAGGCCCCAGGUGGCUGUGGAGGCCCCAGGUGGACAUCAGGUACCAAGCUGACACCCAGGGCACAGGUGGACACAAGGCCCCAGAGGAUCAACAAGUCCAAGGUGUACAUAGGCCCCAGGGGGACACCAGGUCCCAGGUUAACAACAGUAACCAGGUGGAUACUGUUGUUUCCACCCCAGGUAGAAACCAGGCAGAAAUCAGGCCCCAGUAACACACCAGGCCUUAGGAGGAUACCUUGGAACCUGGUGGACAUCAGGCCCUAGCUGGACACCAAGAUCCAAGUGGACAUUAGGCCCCAAGUGUUCACUGAGGCCCCAGGUAAAUGCCCGGGUCCCAGGCCAAAACCAGGCCCCUGAAGGACACCCAGGCCCCAGGUGGACAUAGAGUCUCAGGUGGACACUUGACUCUAAGUGGACAUCAGGUCCUGGGUGGACACAGGCCCCAGGUGGAUACCUUGGCUCCUGGUGAACAUUCGACCCCAGGUGCACAUCUAGGUCCCAUGUGGACAUCCGGGCCCAGGAAGUCCUCAGGCACCAAGAAACACUCAGGCCCCAGCUGGACAUCUGGUCCCAGGUUGACACCCAGGCCUCAGGUGGACACCAGGUGCUAGGAGAACUUCAGGCCCCUGCUACAAUCAAGCCCAGGGUGGACACCCAGGCCUUAUACCAGGUCCCAGGUUUUACAUUUUAUAAAAAUAGAAAAGUUAGCCGGGCCUUGUGAGGCAUGCCUGAAUCCCAGCUACUCAGGAGGCUGAAGCAGUAGAAUCGCUUGAACCCAGGAGGGGGAGGUUGCAGUGAGUCAAGAUUGUGCCACUGCACUUCAGCCUGGGCGACAGAGGGAGAAUCCAUCUCAAAAAAGAAAAUAAUAUUCUCUGCAUAAUUAAUUUGUAUUUUUGACUGAUAAAGCACACCAGAGUUGAACAUAUUCUUCUUAAUGAGAGUCAUGUUUAAGAAAAACUAGAUUCAAAAUUUGAACCUCAGCAAAUCAAUACCAGUCAUUACUUAGAUAGCAUAAAAAUAAGAAAGAGUGGCCAUAGGUUAUGACAAUAUUUGUGUUUAACUUGUAGAGAAUUUACACGUUUAUUUAAAUUCUAAGGUUAAAAUAUUUUGUGAAUGAUUAAUUUUCUUCUUGUAAAAUCAAUUCAGAAUAUAGUAGUCCUCCUUAUCCGUCGGGGAUACAUUUCAGCAUCUUCAGUGGAUGCCUCAAACCACAGACAGUACUAAAUCCAAUAUAGAUUAUCUUUUUUUCUAUACACACAUGCCCUAUAAUUAACUUUUACCUUUUUACUUAAAAGGAACACUUCACAGCUUCUCUUUGGCAUUUUUGAAUUGCAGCAUCUGUACUUUUGCACUUUGGGGCCAUUCUUAAGUAAAACAAGAGUUCUUUGAACACAAACACUGCAAUAUCUCAAUUGUGGAUCUGAUGACCCAGAGGGUUGCUAAGUGACUAACCAGUGGGUAAGGUAGGCAGGUAGAUGUUGUGGGCAAAGAGAUGAUUCACGUCCUGGGUGGGCCUGAGUAGAGAGGGAUGACAGGAGCUCCCAUUACACUACUCGGAACAGCAUGCAAGUUAAAACUUGUCAAUUGUUUAUCUGUGGAUUUUUCAUUUAAUAUUUUCAGACCAGAAUUACCUGUAGGUAAGUGAAACCACAAAAGCCAAAUGCAGCUUACAUGGUACUACAGUGUUAGAAAGAGAUGUUAACAGAAACGAUCAUGCUGUCACAGCCCCUGGUGUGCUGUUACUCACAUUUUAAAACAAAAUCAUCCAUUAUAAAAGAUAGUCUGUUAAAGUGAGGAGUACAGUGCUACUAUGUUAGAUUGCACGUAUGUUGGAAAAUAUUCUCUGUUAAAAUGCAGCCCUCAAUUUCCAAGCUGUUUUUUCAGUUUUAAAACUGGCUUUUAUUGGCUGGACAUGGUGGCUCACACCUAUAAUCCCAGCACUUUGGGAGACCAAGGCGGAUGGAUCACGACGUCAGGAGUUCAAAACUAGCCUGCCCAACAUGGUGAAACUCUGUCUCUACUAAAAAUACAAAAAAAUUAGCCAGACACUAGCCAGGCAUGGUGGCUCAUGCCUGUAAUCCCAGUACUUUGGGAGGCUGAGGCGGAUGGAUCACGAGGUCAGGAGUUCGAGACCAGCCUGGCCAAUAUGGUGAACCCCCGUCUCUACUGAAAAUACAAAAAUUAGCUGGGCGUAGUGGUGCGUGCCUGUAGUCCCAGCUGCUCAGGAGGCUGAGGCAGGAGAAUUGCUUGAACC